GUUACAGUGGCAGAACAAACAAUGCAAAAGCUCUAAGACCUUUCUAAUGGAGGUUUAAUCCCUCCCUCUAACU
rnacentral:tRNA from 1 species